rnacentral:rRNA from 1 species
GACGAACGCUGGCGGCGUGCCUAACACAUGCAAGUCGAACGGAACUGUUUUGAAAGCUUUCUUCGGAAUGAAUUUGAUUUAGUUUAGUGGCGGACGGGUGAGUAACGCGUGAGUAACCUGCCUUCAAGAGGGGAAUAACAUUCUGAAAAGAAUGCUAAUACCGCAUGACAUAUCGGAACCACAUGGUUUUGAUAUCAAAGAUUUUAUCGCUUGAAGAUGGACUCGCGUCCGAUUAGUUAGUUGGUGAGGUAACGGCUCACCAAGACCGCGAUCGGUAGCCGGACUGAGAGGUUGAACGGCCACAUUGGGACUGAGACACGGCCCAGACUCCUACGGGAGGCAGCAGUGGGAGAUAUUGCGCAAUGGGGGCAACCCUGACGCAGCAACGCCGCGUGAAGGAUGAAGGUUUUCGGAUUGUAAACUUCUUUUAUUAAGGACGAAAAAUGACGGUACUUAAUGAAUAAGCUCCGGCUAACUACGUG